rnacentral:rRNA from 1 species
UGAUCCUACGGGACGCAGCAGUAGGGAAUCUUCCACAAUGGACGAAAGUCUGAUGGAGCAACGCCGCGUGAGUGAAGAAGGGUUUCGGCUCGUAAAGCUCUGUUGGUAGUGAAGAAAGAUAGAGGUAGUAACUGGCCUUUAUUUGACGGUAAUUACUUAGAAAGUCACGGCUAACUACGUGCCAGCAGCCGCGGUAAUACGUAGGUGGCAAGCGUUAUCCGGAUUUACUGGGUGUAAAGGGCGUGUAGGCGGGGGAGCAAG